UACGUAGGCAGCGAGCGUUGUUCGGAAUUACUGGGCGUAAAGAGUGUGUAGGCGGUGCUCUAAGUUCGGUGUGAAAUCUCCCGGCUUAACUGGGAGGGUGCGCCGGAAACUGGAGUGCUCGAGCGUGGGAGAGGAAAGCGGAAUUCCUGGUGUAGCGGUGAAAUGCGUAGAUAUCAUGGGGAACACCGAAAGCGAAGGCAGGAGACUGGAGCAUUCUUGACGCUGAAGCACGAAAGCGUGGGUCGCGAGUGGG
rnacentral:rRNA from 1 species